GACGAACGCUGGCGGCGUGCUUAACACAUGCAAGUCGAGCGAUGACGACCGAGCUUGCUCGGUCUGAUUAGUGGCGAACGGGUGAGUAACACGUGAGCAACCUGCCCUUCACUCUGGGAUAACCUCGGGAAAUCGGGGCUAAUACCGGAUAUGAGCUCCUGUCGCAUGGCGGGGGUUGGAAAGUUUUUCGGUGAAGGAUGGGCUCGCGGCCUAUCAGUUUGUUGGUGAGGUAGUGGCUCACCAAGGCGAUGACGGGUAGCCGGCCUGAGAGGGCGACCGGCCACACUGGGACUGAGACACGGCCCAGACUCCUACGGGAGGCAGCAGUGGGGAAUAUUGCACAAUGGGCGAAAGCCUGAUGCAGCGACGCCGCGUGAGGGAUGACGGCCUUCGGGUUGUAAACCUCUUUCAGCAGGGAAGAAGCGAAAGUGACGGUACCUGCAGAAGAAGCGCCGGCUAACUACGUG
rnacentral:rRNA from 1 species